UACGUAGGCAGCGAGCGUUGUUCGGAGUUACUGGGCGUAAAGGGUGCGUAGGUGGCGCGGUAAGUCGGGUGUGAAAUCUCGGAGCUUAACUCCGAAAUUGCAUUCGAUACUGCCGUGCUCGAGGACUGGAGAGGAGACUGGAAUUCAUGGUGUAGCAGUGAAAUGCGUAGAGAUCAUGAGGAAGACCAGUGGCGAAGGCGGGUCUCUGGACAGUUCCUGACACUGAGGCACGAAGGCCAGGGGAGCAAACGGG
rnacentral:rRNA from 1 species